rnacentral:SRP_RNA from 17 species
CGCAGCGACUUGGGGUCCGUGAACCGCGCCAGGUCCGGA